CUCUGAGGCAGAACCACUAGCUCAGGCACUCCUAGGCUCUUGACCCUCAGAAACUGUGUGAAAUAGUCAGCAUCAGUUGUUUGGCUGCUUUGAGUAUUUUGCUACACAGCAAUAAAUAACUAAUACAACCUCCAGGAAAAUGAGUUCAAUUACAGACAAAUGAAGAGAGUAUAUUUCCAUGCUUACAGACUGAGAUUUGUGUUCAUUACAAUCAGACUGAAAGGAAUAAGCAUGAGCCUGAGUUGGGAAGAUAAGAUCAAGAUCAUGCCAGGAAGAGAGUAGAAAAUGAGGAACAUUAGGGAAUGGAAAUGAUAGUCCAGAAUUUCCCCAAGCAGUGCAAAGAUAACAAAAAACUUGUUUUUUACUGUUUCUAGCCUACUAUAAAAGCAUAGGGUCAGGACUGAUUUCUUAAGGAGAGGUACUAGGAAUAAGAAUCACCCAAGUGUUAUCCAGAUCAUCAACAAUUAUGGAGAAGAAAAGAAAAAAGAAAAAAAAAAAGUCUUCCUCGUGGUGUUCAGGGCUAUUCCAGAUUCUGAGACUACAUAGCAGAGGCAACUGAAAAUACAGUUAUGACCCCAAUCUGGAAUUUAGCUAGUAGUAUUAAAGAAGGUUUUGGUUCUCUUGGGACCAACAUUCUAGAAUGUUAACUACAUUUCUAAGGAAGGCAGGCCACUGGGCCUAGUUUACAGAAUGCUUUAUGCGAGCUUCAUUAAUCUUAUUAAAUAACAUGUCUUUGCCAUUCAUUGAUUAGAUAUACAAAUCAUUCAUCCCCAUAUGGAAUUACAAAGGAAUUUAGAGUCAAAAUCCAGCCUUGUGCUGCCUGUGGUUGUCAAGGUAACUAACACCUUAAUUCCAAGCAACCAGACCUCUGCAGACUAUUUUGAAGCCACUCUAAGUAUUAGCCACUCUUCCACCUCCCACUUCAUAAUGAGUCUUAUAUCGUCACUGCCGCUAUUCCUGCCACCAUCUCCAAAGAACCUUGGAUUGCUACGAUAUUUACAGAGAAAAUCACCUUGGACACUCUACCUAUCUCAGCCUGAAGAUCAUGAAGCUGGUGGAUGCUGGCAGUGAUAAACUGAACUAUUACUGCCAGCUCACAUCCUCUUUUCUGGGCAACUUUGCAAUUCCUCCCACAAAAAUAAAAACUGUACUUCCUUGACCUUUGAGUUCA
rnacentral:lncRNA from 1 species